rnacentral:rRNA from 1 species
UAGGGAAUAUUGGGCAAUGGGCGAAAGCCUGACCCAGCAACACCGCGUGAAUGAUGAAGGUCUUCGGAUUGUAAAGUUCUGUGAUGGGGGACGAAGAAAGUGACGGUACCCCAAGAGCAAGCCACGGCUAACUACGUGCCAGCAGCCGCGGUAAUACGUAGGUGGCAAGCGUUGUCCGGAAUGACUGGGCGUAAAGGGUACGUAGGUGGCUAUUCAAGUUAGUGGUGAAAUUCCGGGGCUUAACUCCGGCGCUACCACUAAGACUGUUUAGCUUGAGUGCAGGAGGGGUAAGUGGAAUUCCUAGUGUAGCGGUGGAAUGCGUAGAUAUUAGGAAGAACACCGGUGGCGAAGGCGACUUACUGGACUGUAACUGACACUGAAGUACGAAAGCGUGGGGAGCAAACAGG